rnacentral:piRNA from 1 species
UAUCAAGGCACCUUGGCGAACCAGCCAC